AGUGAACGCUGGCGGCGUGCUUAACACAUGCAAGUCGAACGAGAACGGAUUAUAGCUCGCUAUAAUUGUCAGCUAAGUGGCGCACGGGUGAGUAAUAUAUAGAUAACCUGCCCUCUAGAAAGGAAUAACAGUUGGAAACGACUGCUAAUGCCCUAUAUGCCUUUAAUACAUAAGUAUGCAAGGGAAACGCUUUAGUGCUAGAGGAUGGUCUGUAUGGUAUCAGCUUGUUGGUGAGGUAAUGGCUCACCAAGGCUAUGACGCCUAACUGGUUUGAGAGGAUGAUCAGUCACACUGGAACUGAGACACGGUCCAGACUCCUACGGGAGGCAGCAGUGGGGAAUAUUGCACAAUGGACGAAAGUCUGAUGCAGCAACGCCGCGUGGAGGAUGACACAUUUCGGUGCGUAAACUCCUUUUAUAUAGGAAGAUAAUGACGGUACUAUAUGAAUAAGCACCGGCUAACUCCGUGCCAGCAGCCGCCGUAAGAC
rnacentral:rRNA from 1 species